rnacentral:rRNA from 1 species
GACGAACCGUGCGAACGUUGUUCGGAAUCACUGGGCUUAAAGCGUGUGUAGGCGGGCCCGUAAGUGUCUUGUGAAAUCCCACGGCUCAACCGUGGAACUGCUGGGCAUACUGCGGGUCUUGGGCCAACUAGGGGCAGCCGGAACAAGCGGUGGAGCGGUGAAAUGCGUAGAUAUCAGGAGGAACACCUGUGGCGAAAGCGGCGCACUGGACCACAACUGACGCUGAGGCGCGAAAGCUAGGGGAGCAAACAGG